rnacentral:rRNA from 1 species
UACCUAAUGCGGCCGCGGCGGCGGCGACGGGGAGGGAUGGCGGAGGUUCGUUACCUAAGUCGGCGGUGGCGGCGGGGCGACGACCGGCUGCUCCUCCUGCGAGCCGCGUCGGCCUCGUGGCUGACGUAGAGGUCAGGUAAGCAAGCAAGCAGGUAGGGGAGGCGAGGCGAGGGAGGUAGCUAUCUACCUUGUCAGGCGCGAUCCGAUCGAGGUCGGAGGCCGACGGCCGCGUGCUAAACCAGAACCAAAGGCCGCUCCCUCGGAACGAGACGAGGCGAGUCGUACCACGGCCUUUUGAGCUACGAUCGAUUCGAACCAAAUGCGUGCUGGUUUCGUAAUCCCGAAAUACCCGUAGUGACCUCGAUGUAGCGGUAACAUCUAAGAGGCCCUUCGCUCACGCUCAUGACAGUGUAGCUACGGUGCUCCCACUUGGGGUCCCUGAGGACGUGCUGCAUAAAACUCUCGGUUCUUAAUAUAAAUACAAACUAGGUAGGUCGAAUACUGUAGGACUUAUAGCCACCGUGUCCAAAGUCUUGGUAACCCAUAACCAGUUUGAAAAGACCAGAGAGUCAGCGACGAAGUCUUUUGAACGUAAGUCAUGGUAGCCUGAGAUGUUGGUUACUAUAUCUCGAGUUACCACAAUAGACCGGACCAGUCUAACGUCUCUUUGGGCCACCGACCCACAAAGGCAUAGUACCCUUCAAAGAGGUACGGUUGUGUAUGGAGUUACCUUAUAAACGUUAAAAGGUUACGUAUAAGUGAAGUCAACGUUCACAUCUCCAGGUACGGUUCUUGGGGUUGUGAAGAGUUUAAUUACAAGUACUAGUUAGAUCGAAGACGUAUUUCCUUUUCUGGUGUAGACGAACAUGAGACCUUGAGACCUACGAUUCCUACUCCACACACGACGACGACCCUCGCGCUCGCGUCGCCGGACUCGUCCGGGCCCAUCUCUCUCGCCUGCCGGAACCGGACGAUGCCGGGUUUGACUCACCGCCCUCGGGCCUACACCAGAAGCACUGAUGUCUACGUCAAAAAAAGAAAGGUUUUUUCCUUUCAUCUUCUUCUUUCUGACUCGCGACACUUCGGCCUCCAGCGGCUUCGGGGCCGUGCGCCCCCGACCCGCUCCUCGGGUCUGGCCACGAUAUAUACGCACCGUGAGCUGGCAUAGGCGUAGUUUGGUAAAGUGAGGUACCUGCCUGCGGUGAGGAUUUCGUCUGUUGAUGAAGCUUUUAAGUCCAGCGUCUUAGGGCAAAGACGUCGUCUAACUCGAAUGUUGACCAGGUGCGUUUCGCGUUUCGACCACUGCAACUGCUACGUCUGCUACUAGUACAUUCGUCGUCCGACUUGAGCUGCCGCAGGUGGAGGCCGCGGGUACGAGACGUUCUGCUUGAUAUACUUAGACUGCCUAGGUAGGAACCACCUUCCUUCGUCUACUCCUUUUUGGAGUUCUAGUUAGCUCUUUACGUUAAACUUUCAGCUUAAAUU